UCCGGCUUGUCACCGGCAGUUCCUGCAGAGUGCCCGGCCCGACCCGCUGGCAACUGCAGGCAGGGGUUGCGCUCGUUGCGGGACUUAACCCAACAUCUCACGGCACGAGCUGACGACAGCCAUGCAGCACCUGUGAUCCUGCCCAAAAGGGAAACCGUGUUUCCACGGCGGUCAGGAACAUGUCAAACCCAGGUAAGGUUCUUCGCGUUGCGUCGAAUUAAACCACAUGCUCCGCUGCUUGUGCGGGUCCCCGUCAAUUCCUUUGAGUUUUAGCCUUGCGGCCGUACUCCCCAGGCGGGGCACUUAAUGCGUUAGCUACGGCACGGAACCCGUUGGAAAGGCCCCACACCUAGUGCCCAACGUUUACGGCGUGGACUAC
rnacentral:misc_RNA from 1 species